rnacentral:rRNA from 1 species
AUUGAACGCUGGCGGCAUGCCUUACACAUGCAAGUCGAACGGCAGCACGGGAGCAAUCCUGGUGGCGAGUGGCGAACGGGUGAGUAAUAUAUCGGAACGUGCCCAGUAGUGGGGGAUAGCCCGGCGAAAGCCGGAUUAAUACCGCAUGAGACCUGAGGGUGAAAGCGGGGGAUCGCAAGACCUCGCGCUAUUGGAGCGGCCGAUAUCAGAUUAGCUAGUUGGUGGGGUAAAGGCCUACCAAGGCAACGAUCUGUAGUUGGUCUGAGAGGACGACCAGCCACACUGGGACUGAGACACGGCCCAGACUCCUACGGGAGGCAGCAGUGGGGAAUUUUGGACAAUGGGCGCAAGCCUGAUCCAGAAAUGCCGCGUGCAGGAAGAAGGCCUUCGGGUUGUAAACUGCUUUUGUCAGGGAAGAAAUCCCUUGGGAUAAUACCUCGGGGGGAUGACGGUACCUGAAGAAUAAGCACCGGCUAACUACGUGCCAGCAGCCGCCGUAAAAC